CACUAAAGAUUUUGGAUCUGAGAAGAGUAGACGAUGAGUCCGGCCAAGAAGUCAAUAUGACAUGGACACCAGACCCAACUUCAAUUCAAGACAGCUAUAAGAUUUUGUACCAGGAGGUAGAAGCUUUUAACGGAGAUGCACGCACUAGGACAACCACAGAAGAAAAGGCCACAGAAAGUCUUUAUCCUGGAAGAAAUUACUCAGUUUCUGUGGCUGCUGUGUCAAAUAAUAUAGAGAGUGAACACAUGUCUCUCUAUGUUGCUACUAAACCAACAUCCCCAAUUAUUGAAAUGCAGCCAAUUCCCCACGGCCUCACCAUAUCCUGGAAGAGUGAUGAUACUUCCCGUCAGGAUGGAUAUGCUGUUGUUCACAUUAGGAACGACACAGGAGAGUCAGUUACCCAUAAAACAGGGAAGGAACAAAUAGUGUUGGAAGACCUGUUCCCUGGUGCUAGAUAUGAGAUUAAGGUCUAUGCCAUAUCUCAUGGUCUGUGGAGCGAACCUCAUGCCCACUUCCAUGUAGUGUAUCCAAACCCAAUUCGAAACCUGACUAUUAGCGCCGCCACAAACACCACUGUGAUCCUUUCUUGGCUGCCUCCAAUUGAGUCGUUAUUCUCACAUUAUGAUAUAAGGUACCGCCCCGUAGAUGCAGUAGAUUGGAUUGAGUUGCCGCCCGUCAAUAAAACCUCAGUUGCCAUGGACAGCCUGCAGCCUGGAGAGCGCUAUUUGAUUGAAGUUCGUUCCAUCUCUCAUAACGUAAAAAGCUUCACCUCUGAGGAAGUUCAACAUACUGUUCCACCAAACCCAGUGAAAGGAAUCACACCAGUACUCGAUUCCCACAACAUAACCUUCGAGUGGCCCAGACCGGAUGGCAGACUAGAUACCUAUACCAUUAUCUGGUGGAGCAACUUUGCACCAGAGACAAAGCAUUUCAAGGAAAUUCCUGGAAGCCAUGCGACGGAAGGUAUAGACCGAAGAAUGUCCAUUGUGGUAGACGAGCUGAUGCCUGGAGAGCUUUACCAUUUCCAGAUCUAUACUACAGCACAUAAAGUGAAUAGUGAGGUGGUGGAGCUCUCACGCAGAACUAUGCCCCUCAUCACAUCUGACAUUAGAAUUGGGCAUCAGCCAGAGAGCAGAUCAAUGGCCAUUAUAUAUACACCAACACCAGAAUCUGCAUCUAUCUUUGACAUGUACAGAUUCAUGUUAUCCGACCCUUCCAUACCUGUGAAGGAGAAGCCUGCAGAUGAUGAGGACCGCAAGAUUGUAUUUAAUAAUCUGGUGCCUGGACGGGUGUACAAUGUCACGGCCUGGACAGUGUCAGGAGGGGUAACCAGCCUGCCCCUCAUACGGCAGGAUCAGCUCAACCCUGAGUCUGUGUCCAACAUCACUGCUGGUUACAUCUCAGAUACGGAAAUUACCUUGUCCUGGAGCAAACCGGCCGGGGAUUAUGAUGUUUUUGAGGUGCAGUAUCUCCGCGACAAUGAGCUCUUAACUACAAACACCACGAAAGAUUCAGUCACUAUCGCGAAAUUACGACCAUAUCGCAACUACACCUUCACAGUCCUCACUUGGGCAGGAAGCACUAGGCAGUCAAAUUCUGUGUCGGCAACUUUCACCACGAGGGAGAGUGUUCCUGGGAAGGUGAACAGAUUUAAAGCAACCAUAAUGAAUCCAAGUGAGAUAUCAUUAAGCUGGUCUUUGCCUGCGGAAGAACAAAACGGCAUUCUCUUGGGCUACAUGCUGAAGUAUAGAAUCAAGGGUUCCGAAGUUGCUCCCAAGAUGUACUUUGCAGCAGAUGAGGAGUCGGGCAUCAUCCAGAAUCUGAUCCCAGGAGAGACCUAUGUUUUCCAGAUUGAAGCCAUGACUAAGAUUGGCCCAGGACCCGUUAGGCACAUAGAGAAGACAAUGCCUAUUGGUGAUCCCCCUGAGCCAGGUCCUCUGGAAUUCCCCACAGAAGUGUCUCACACUGCAAACACCAUUCGCGUUCGUUACCGGAAGCACUACUUCUCCAACAAAAAUGGGCAGAUUAUAGGAUACACAGUCAUUGUAGCUGAAGAUGACACCAAGAGUUCCAGAGGGGUUGAGUUGCGUACAUGGAAGGACGUUCAGAGUUAUUCUCUGUGGCCUCCAUAUCAGGUUACAGAACGUUACUAUCCAUUUGUCAACACAUCAGUGGAAGACUUCGACAUUGGUGUCGAGGAAGAUUGUGAAAAUCAAGAUAGCUACUGUAAUGGGCCACUCAAACCAGGAAGUACAUACAAAGUUAAAAUCCGAGCUUAUACAGCAGCAAACAAGUUUGCUGACACUCACUAUAGCCAUCCAAUAACAACAGAUUCUGAAAGUGGGAAUUUAGGAUUGCUUGUGGCUAUUCCUGUGGUAUUUGUGGUGUUGGUGGUGGUAUUGGCGGUGGCUAUAAGACAGCGAAGAUCAUGCAAGUCGUCAAGAAAGUCUUCUAAUCAACUUAGCAAUAUACACCCAAUGCCUGAUUCCAUUAGAGAAACAAGUCGACCUGUAAAAUUGCAAGACUUCGUGGCCUACUUCCGAUUCAUGUCUGCUGACUCUGAGUACCGCUUCUCUGAAGAAUAUAGAGCUUUGCAACACGUUGGUCAUGACAUCCCACACAACGCUGCUGAUCUCCCGGUCAAUCGGCCCAAGAAUCGUUUCACAAACAUUUUGCCUUAUGACCACUCACGUUUCAAACUGCAGUCAACAGAUGAUGAAGAGGGAUCUGAUUACAUAAAUGCAAAUUAUGUGUCGGGCUACAACUCUCUGCGGGAAUUCAUCGUGAGCCAAGGGCCUCUCCCGUCUACAAGGGAUGACUUCUGGCGCAUGUGUUGGGAGAGCAAUUCGCGAGCCAUCGUCAUGCUGACACGGUGCACAGAAAGGGGCCGUGAGAGAUGUGAUCACUACUGGCCUGACAACAUGCAGCCAGUCUACUAUGGAGAUAUUGAAGUGACUAUUCUGAAUGAGCGCUAUUUCCCCGACUGGAAUGUUACAGAAUUCAGAGUCUGCAAGGGUGAAGUUUGCCGCAUGAUUCGCCACUUCCACUUCACGACUUGGCCAGAUUUUGGUGUACCCGAUCCUCCGCAAACGUUAGUUCGAUUUGUUCGUUUCUUCAGGGAGAGCGUUGGUGCAGAUCAGAGGCCAAUUGUCGUACAUUGCAGUGCUGGUGUUGGGCGAUCAGGAACUUUCAUUGCUUUGGACAGGAUACUGUUCAGCAGAAGAACAAAUGACUAUGUGGACAUAUAUGGUAUAGUUUAUGAGAUGAGACGACAAAGAGUUUCCAUGGUACAAACUGAGCGGCAGUAUAUAUGUAUUCACCAGUGCCUUCUCUCUGUCUUGGAAGGAACAGAAAACGAACAUCCCUUAUCUGAAAUUCAUGAUAAUCAGGGUUACGAAGGACUGAAUGGGAUAUUGGUAUCAGGAAUUUCACCGAAGCAAAGAUGAUUGCCUUUGCCUCAGCCACUGAUUUCUAUGGUUAUUGGGCAGCUGUCUCUUAGAACUUUGUGUUCACUUUGAUGACGAAGGAAUAGCCGAGUCGAGCAUGUGACAGGAGGUGUAUGGGUUGCAUUCCCUUGCAGCCUGUACAAAGUAUGGAAAUGACGUGACUCUGGCAAAAAACAGACCUUGAAGAUGCGUUUAUCAGAAGGAAUCUCCGUGGGAGUGUGUACAGAAAACUAUAUUUUUAUAGUAAUUUAUCUUAACUAUUCCAAACUUUAUGGUUUGUUAUCAGACUUCAGUCAUAUAUAUGUAUACAGUAUUAUAUGUAUACAGUGUUAUAUAUGUACUUAUGUAUGUAUGUGUAUAUAUAUACUUGUCAUCUUGUAUGUCAGUGUAUGUUUGGUGUUAACUUUAUCAAAAUAGAUUUAAUGUAAAAAUUUCAUCUCUAUUUUUCCUCAUUAUUUUUGCUGAAUUGUAGACAGUUCUUGUGCCACUUGCAAAGCAAUUACAGGAUGUAUACUGUAUGGUGUUCAAAAUUGCUUUUGAUUUUGUUAUGUAGUAGAGCACAUAAAAUUACUUCUUGAAAAAAAUGUGGUGUUUCUAUGAAGUUUGUAAAUAUAUUGUAAAGACUGUAAAAAGCAGAAAUAAGAAAUCAUAUUAUUAGCAGAUUAAUACUACCUUCUGUCCUAUACAUACGUAUUAUAAGAUUUAAUUUGUGAGGGGAAGAGUAAUUGAUAAGAUAAACCAAGGUGCUAUCAUAUCUGAGAUUUUUCUUUCAUAAGAAAGCAGGAGAAACUAAAUCCGUCCUAGUUUUAUUUCACUUUGCUUCAAUUUCCUUUUAGUGAUUAGUUUUAUAGUAUCUUUUUUACAAAUAUUUCAUAUGUAUUUUUUUUUUUUUUUUUUUUUUUUCCAUUUUUCUUCAGAUGUGUUUUUCUGUGUGUGU